AUUGAACGCUGGCGGUAUGCUUUACACAUGCAAGUCGAACGGUAACAGGCCGCAAGGUGCUGACGAGUGGCGAACGGGUGCGUAAUGCAUCGGAACGUGCCCAGUCGUGGGGGAUAACUACUCGAAAGAGUAGCUAAUACCGCAUACGAUCUAUGGAUGAAAGCGGGGGACCGUAAGGCCUCGCGCGAUUGGAGCGGCCGAUGUCAGAUUAGGUAGUUGGUGGGGUAAAGGCUCACCAAGCCAACGAUCUGUAGCUGGUCUGAGAGGACGACCAGCCACACUGGGACUGAGACACGGCCCAGACUCCUACGGGAGGCAGCAGUGGGGAAUUUUGGACAAUGGGCGCAAGCCUGAUCCAGCAAUGCCGCGUGCAGGAAGAAGGCCUUCGGGUUGUAAACUGCUUUUGUACGGAACGAAACGGCUCUGGUUAAUACCCGGGGCUAAUGACGGUACCGUAAGAAUAAGCACCGGCUAACUACGUG
rnacentral:rRNA from 1 species